UACGUAGGGAGCAAGCGUUUGUCCGGAAUCAUUGGGCGUAAAGCGCGUGUAGGCGGCCCGGUAAGUCCGCUGUGAAAGUCGGGGGCUCAACCCUCGAAUGCCGGUGGAUACUGUCGGGCUAGAGUGCGGGAGAGGCGAGUGGAAUUCCUGGUGUAGCGGUGAAAUGACGCAGAUAUCAGGAGGAACACCGAUUGCGAAGGCAGCUCGCUGGAACGUAACUGACGCUGAGAACGCGAAAGCGUGGGGAGCAAACAGG
rnacentral:rRNA from 1 species